AUAGUACUUCCUUCGUCUCAAAACUUUUGUCUUAUGUUUGUCUAGAAAUGAAUGUAUCAAAAUACCAAACGUGACUAGAUACAUUCAUAUCCAGACAAAUCUAAGACAGGAAUGGGACGGAGGGAGUAUUUG
rfam:Hordeum vulgare subsp. vulgare, WGS project CAJW01000000 data, contig: morex_contig_2552493